AUACGUAGGGUGCGAGCGUUGUCCGGAAUUACUGGGCGUAAAGAGCUCGUAGGUGGUUUGUCGCGUCGUCUGUGAAAUUCCGGGGCUUAACUCCGGGCGUGCAGGCGAUACGGGCAUAACUUGAGUACUGUAGGGGAGACUGGAAUUCCUGGUGUAGCGGUGAAAUGCGCAGAUAUCAGGAGGAACACCGGUGGCGAAGGCGGGUCGCUGGGCAGUAACUGACGCUGAGGAGCGAAAGCAUGGGUAGCGAACAGGAUGAGAUACCCUGGUAGCCCAUGCCGUAAGCGGUGGGCGCUAGGUGUAGGGGACUUCCACGACUUCUGUGCCGUAGCUAACGCAUUAAGCGCCCCGCCUGGGGAGUACGGCCGCAAGGCUAAAACUCAAAGGAAUUGACGGGG
rnacentral:rRNA from 1 species